rnacentral:rRNA from 1 species
GUAGGACACUCUAUACGGAGUUACAAAGGACGACAUUAGACGAAUCAUCUGGAAAGAUGAAUCAAAGAAGGUAAUAAUCCUGUAGUCGAAAAUGUUGUCUCUCUUGAGUGGAUCCUGAGUACGACGGAGCACGUGAAAUUCCGUCGGAAUCUGGGAGGACCAUCUCCUAAGGCUAAAUACUCUCUAGUGACCGAUAGUGAACCAGUACCGUGAGGGAAAGGUGAAAAGCACCCCGGAAGGGGAGUGAAAUAGAACCUGAAACCGUGUGCUUACAAGUAGUCAGAGCCCGUUAAUGGGUGAUGGCGUGCCUUUUGUAGAAUGAACCGGCGAGUUACGAUUUGAUGCAAGGUUAAGCAGUAAAUGUGGAGCCGUAGCGAAAGCGAGUCUGAAUAGGGCGUUUAGUAUUUGGUCGUAGACCCGAAACCAGGUGAUCUACCCUUGGUCAGGUUGAAGUUCAGGUAACACUGAAUGGAGGACCGAACCGACUUACGUUGAAAAGUGAGCGGAUGAACUGAGGGUAGCGGAGAAAUUCCAAUCGAACCUGGAGAUAGCUGGUUCUCUCCGAAAUAGCUUUAGGGCUAGCCUCAAGUGAUGAUUAUUGGAGGUAGAGCACUGUUUGGACGAGGGGCCCCUCUCGGGUUACCGAAUUCAGACAAACUCCGAAUGCCAAUUAAUUUAACUUGGGAGUCAGAACAUGGGUGAUAAGGUCCGUGUUCGAAAGGGAAACAGCCCAGACCACCAGCUAAGGUCCCAAAAUAUAUGUUAAGUGGAAAAGGAUGUGGCGUUGCCCAGACAACUAGGAUGUUGGCUUAGAAGCAGCCAUCAUUUAAAGAGUGCGUAAUAGCUCACUAGUCGAGUGACACUGCGCCGAAAAUGUACCGGGGCUAAACAUAUUACCGAAGCUGUGGAUUGUCCUUUGGACAAUGGUAGGAGAGCGUUCUAAGGGCGUUGAAGCAUGAUCGUAAGGACAUGUGGAGCGCUUAGAAGUGAGAAUGCCGGUGUGAGUAGCGAAAGACGGGUGAGAAUCCCGUCCACCGAUUGACUAAGGUUUCCAGAGGAAGGCUCGUCCGCUCUGGGUUAGUCGGGUCCUAAGCUGAGGCCGACAGGCGUAGGCGAUGGAUAACAGGUUGAUAUUCCUGUACCACCUAUA